AGAACGAACGCUGGCGGCAUGCCUAACACAUGCAAGUCGAACGCUCUUGGGGCUUCGGUUCCAAGGGAGUGGCGCACGGGUGAGUAGCGCGUGGGAACCUGCCCUGGAGUGGGGGAUAACCGAGGGAAACUUCGGCUAAUACCGCAUGCGCCCGGGAAACCGGGGAAAGAUUUAUCGCUCUAGGAGGGGCCCGCGUCGGAUUAGCUAGUUGGUGGGGUAACGGCCUACCAAGGCUUUGAUCCGUAGCUGGUCUGAGAGGAUGAUCAGCCACACUGGGACUGAGACACGGCCCAGACUCCUACGGGAGGCAGCAGUGGGGAAUAUUGGACAAUGGGCGCAAGCCUGAUCCAGCCAUGCCGCGUGGAUGAUGAAGGCCUUAGGGUUGUAAAGUCCUUUUAACGGGGAAGAUAAUGACGGUACCCGUAGAAUAAGCCCCGGCUAACUUCGCGCCAGCAGCCGC
rnacentral:rRNA from 1 species